rnacentral:rRNA from 1 species
CCUAGUAACUGCGAGUGAAGCGGGAAAAGCUCAAAUUUAAAAUCUGGCGGUCCCUUGGCUGUCCGAGUUGUAAUCUAGAGAAGUGCUAUCCGCGCUGGACCGUGUACAAGUCUCCUGGAAUGGAGCGUCAUAGAGGGUGAGAAUCCCGUCUCUGACACGGACUGCCAGGGCUUUUGUGAUGCGCUCUCGAAGAGUCGAGUUGUUUGGGAAUGCAGCUCUAAAUGGGUGGUAAAUUCCAUCUAAAGCUAAAUAUUGGCGAGAGACCGAUAGCGAACAAGUACCGUGAGGGAAAGAUGAAAAGAACUUUGGAAAGAGAGUUAAACAGUACGUGAAAUUGUUGAAAGGGAAACGCUUGAAGUCAGUCGCGUUGACCGGGAAUCAACCUUGCUUCUGCUUGGUGCACUUUCCGGUUGACGGGUCAGCAUCAAUUUUGACCGGUGGAAAAAGGUGGAGGGAAUGUGGCAUCCUUGGAUGUGUUAUAGCCCUUGAUCGUAUGCAUCGGUUGGGAUUGAGGAACUCAGCACGCCGCAAGGCCGGGUUUUUAACCACGUUCGUGCUUAGGAUGCUGGCAUAAUGGCUUUAAUCGACCCGUCUUGAAACAC